AGGAGAAUCAAGUAAGGGCAGCCAUUUGCUGAGUCUCAUCUUAUACCACAGCGCCACCUAUUGGACGCUGAUAAAAAUACAUCCGGAAGUACCUAAAACCUAUUGAAGUCCUGUCUACACAAUUUUGUAAGUAACUAUAAAUUAAUAUGAAUACUUUCACACACUAUUACUUUUCACUCAGUCAGGCUCCCUGGGUCACUCUGUUCCUUCUUGGCCAGAAAAUGAAUUCCAAGCAACACCUGCCUAUUU
rnacentral:lncRNA from 10 species